GACGAACGCUGGCGGCGUGCUUAACACAUGCGAGUCGAACGGAAAGGCCCUGCUUUUGUGGGGUGCUCGAGUGGCGAACGGGUGAGUAACACGUGAGUAACCUGCCCUUGACUUUGGGAUAACUUCAGGAAACUGGGGCUAAUACCGGAUAGGAGCUCCUGCUGCAUGGUGGGGGUUGGAAAGUUUCGGCGGUUGGGGAUGGACUCGCGGCUUAUCAGCUUGUUGGUGGGGUAGUGGCUUACCAAGGCUUUGACGGGUAGCCGGCCUGAGAGGGUGACCGGCCACAUUGGGACUGAGAUACGGCCGAGACUCCUACGGGAGGCAGCAGUGGGGAAUAUUGCACAAUGGGCGGAAGCCUGAUGCAGCAACGCCGCGUGCGGGAUGACGGCCUUCGGGUUGUAAACCGCUUCCGCCUGUGACGAAGCGUGAGUGACGGUAAUGGGUAAAGAAGCACCGGCUAACUACGUG
rnacentral:rRNA from 1 species